rnacentral:rRNA from 1 species
UGCAUGUCUAAGUAUGAACGAUUCUAUACUGUGAAACUGCGAAUGGCUCAUUAAAUCAGUUAUAGUUUAUUUGAUGGUUCCUUACUACUUGGAUAACCGUGGUAAUUCUAGAGCUAAUACAUGCAGAAAGUCCCGACUGUCUCGGAAGGGAUGUAUUUAUUAGAUCCAAAACCAGCGCGAGCUCCUCUGGGGCUCGGUUGCUCGGUGAUUCAUGAUAACUUGUCGAAUCGCAGGGCCUUAGUGCCGGCGAUGAUCCAUUCAAAUUUCUGCCCUAUCAACUUUCGAUGGUACGGUAGUGGCCUACCAUGGUUGCAACGGGUGACGGAGAAUUAGGGUUCGAUUCCGGAGAGGGAGCCUGAGAAACGGCUACCACAUCCAAGGAAGGCAGCAGGCGCGCAAAUUACCCAAUCCCGGCUCGGGGAGGUAGUGACAAUAAAUAACAAUGCUGGGCCAAUUCGGUCUGGCAAUUGGAAUGAGUACAACCCAAACCCCUUAACGAGGAACAAUUGGAGGGCAAGUCUGGUGCCAGCAGCCGCGGUAAUUCCAGCUCCAAUAGCGUAUAUUAAAGUUGUUGCAGUUAAAAAGCUCGUAGUUGGAUUUCGGGGCGGCUCGGUCGGUCCGCCGCGAGGCGUGCACUGGUCGGGCGCCCUUCCUCUCGGAGGCCACGGCUGCUCUUCGUUGCAGCGGUCGUGGAGUUCGGGACGUUUACUUUGAAAAAAUUAGAGUGUUCAAGGCAGGCUGCCGCC